AGUGCCUCCUUACUGUUAUCUGCCCAGACACCUUCAUGCGUGAAACAAGUCUCACGUGUAACCUUACGACGUAAUUGAAUUGCCGCCCGGGCGUCUCUUCCAUUUAUUAUGUAUUGAUUUCCGACGACGGCUUGAUCACCGCGGUGGUGACUGUAGAUACCGAUGUGACAACGGAGAUGAAACAUGGACUACUUCUGGAGGACAGCGGAGGAUGGGAGCUGCCAGGAGAGCAGGAGAGCCGUUCUGAAUUACAGCGAGGAUGAAGAACAAGUACAUUUCCCCUUAAAGAAGCACUCCAGGUUUCUUUUAUUAAUUUUUUUGGCCCAUAUGAUGCACGCUCACCAUCAACAGUCAUACAGCUACAUCUAUAAGUUUCAUUUGGUCAUGUGACCCACAGAAAAUCACAGUAUUUGAUGCGUCAAAAGGAUGUCAAGUCCUGAGUCAGCUGACUUCCUGAGAACUACAGGAUGACAUCAUUCCUGCUAACUCACGGAUUCAUGCCCUUCCUUUACAGCUCUAUCUGUAUACUGCUGCUGGAAUCUCUACAGGAUCAGGAUACAUAGUAGUUAUACACCGCCCCCUUCAGCUCUAUCUGUAUACUGCUGCUGCUAUUUCUAUGGAAUCAGGAUAUAUAUAGUAGUAUAAACCUCCUCCCCCCAAGCUCUAUCUGUAUACUACUGCUGCUGGCUCUAUGGAAUUAUCAUAUAAAGUAGUUACACACCUGCUCCUUAGCUCUAUCUGUAUACUGCUGCUAUCUCUAUGGGAUCAGAAUAUAUUGUAGUUAUACACCUCCUCUCCCAACUCUAUCUGUAUACUGCUGCUUCUAUCUUUAUGGGAAAAUUAUAUAUAAUAGUUAUACACCUCUCCUCCAGUUCUAUUUGUUUACUGCUGCUGCUAUCUCUUGGGAUCAGGAUAAAUAGGAGUUAUAAAACUCCCCUCCAGCUCUAUCUGUAUACUGCUUUUGCUAUCUAUAGGAUCAGGAUAUAUAGUAGUUAUACAUCUCUCCUCCAGCUCUAUCUGUUUACUGCUGCUAUCUCUAUGGAAUCAGGAUAUAUAGUAGUUCUAGACCUCCCCCUCCAGCUCUAUCUGUAUACUGCUAUCUCUAUAGGAUCAGCAUAUAUAGUAGUUAUACACCUCCCAUUCAGCUCUAUCUGUAUACUGUUGCUAUCUCUAUGGGAUCAGGAUAUAUACUAGAUAGAUAUACACCUCUCUUAAACUAUGUUCACAGAUUGUGUUCCUUAAAAAAAAGUUAUCUUUUUGCUGUGAUUCUCUUAUUGCCUUGUAGCAAUCUUUCUCUAAAAAAUCACAUCUUGAAUUAACAAAAGUAUCAAAAACUUCACAAAUUGUAAACUGAUAGCAAACCGCUUAUGAGUUUAAUGAACCUCAGCCUAAUUAAAUGUCCAGGUAGAGUGAUCAAACACCACACACUCAGCCGGAGGAUUUUUGAAAAAUGUAGGCUGCAUUACAGAACCGCUUCAGUGAUGAAUUUACAAAAUCCAAAAUGGAGCCUCUCCUAUGCCUGCCACAUCAGCUAAAACAGGUAAGCAUGAGGCAUACACAAAAACCUCUGUCUAUGCUGCACUAUAUCAGCAAAAAUAAAAAUGAUUCUUUCCCAGAGUGCUUCUUUAAGUAGAAGGUAAUGCCGGUUUCCCACAUAUUUUUGCAUUCGUAUUACAGCCACUGGUCUUGGCCUGACCGGGGGUCCGAUGAUCCGUAUUUUGUACACUUAUUUUCAUUAAAGG